rnacentral:lncRNA from 1 species
AGCGUGAGUGGCUUUCUGUAGUUGCUGAGAGUUAUAUUGUGAGCAUAAUUCAUACAGCAGCUUUCAUAUACGGCACAUGUAGUCGGCACUGCAUUUAGAAAGAGAAAGUUAUAUUUUCUUCACUGUCUAUUCAAAACUGUUGAUUGAUAAUAAUUGACUCAAGUGAAUGCCACAUCAUCUGCCACAUCAUCUGCCAUGUCAUUCAUAUUUCUGUUUUGAAACCUGUUGUUCCCUUGAUAGCCUUGAAUAUCACCAAUUCGGGAUCCUGCAUUUGAACUCUCUCCUUGUGAAUACCCGGAAUUCUGAUGACCACCUGUGACCUUAUCUCCUUGAACAUACAUUGCAGCCAUGCCACUUGCCAGCGUAGAGACCCUUGCUUCCAUAGCAGAUUCAACACCAAUCAACUGCGCUCUGAAAUCUUUCAGCGGAAUAGAAGUCUCCCUUGCUAAAACUACAGCCUUGACAAUAUCAAACUCCGGUGGUAAUCCAGAUAAAGCAGUAAUAACAAAAUCAUUAUCAGUAAUCCUCUCCCCUGCAGACACAAGCUGAUCCCGAAUGGCUUUCAACCGAAGCAAAUACUUGUCAAUAGAAUCACUGCCUUUUUGAAUUGUAUGAAACUCAAUUUUGAGUUGAUUAAUCCUAGCCCUGGACACAGACGCAUAGCGGUCUUGUAAAUUUAUCCAAGCUUCAUGAGACGUUUUACACCCUAUUACAUAUUCCAUAGCAUCAUCCGACAAAGUAGCAAUUAACAGACUCAAUAGGGCCAUAUCUUUCUGAACCCAAGAUUUAUAAGCUGCUGUGAUUUCUGUAGUCACUCCAUUCUCAGUGUUAACCACAAACUUUGGUGGACAAGGAGACUCACCAGUAAAGAAUUCAAAGAAAUCAUACCCUCGUAAAACCGACUGAAACUGAUAAUUCAACUUAACAAAAUUGUCAUCUUGCAACUUCACAGUCAACAUACCAAGCAAACUUUCAAUGCGUACUGAUUUAUCAGACAUCUUUAUCACAAAGUACUGACAAGAAAUCAAUCUCAAUCACAAAUAUGUUUAACUCCAAACUUCAACAAUGAUCACCUCUUCAAUAUAUUCUCACUACUUCUUGGCAUCGGCCUUCUAUAUGUAUAUACUUCAAAAGCUGAAAUUCCAGCAAUUUCGCAAAUGAACAACUGUAAUCAUAUCACACCACAACUAUAAUUCGUCUAUCUUCAACAAAUCUUGGCAUCAGCCUUAAUCAAAUCCAACACAUAACCCAUAUAUGAAAAACCAAAGAAAACAUUCCAAUUCACCAUAUAUCUUCACUGAAGCAAAAACGCAAACACUUGAUGUGCAAAGAAUAAGGAAAGAAACCAACAACUUGAUUGAAUGACCCUCAACCCAAAAUUCAUCAGCAAGCGUUCAAGCACUUCACCAAUCCUCCAAGAACUCCACCACAGCCUUCAACGAUCGAUCCCAAAGAAUUUCUCAGCGGAAGAAAAUACCCAAAAAAAAAAUCAACCUUGGCUCGAUACCAUCUUAACCAAGAAGAUCAGACUUGCAGAAAGAAAAAGAAAGAAACAAUACAGAGAAUAUAGAAGAAAACUUAGAAAGAAUAUGAAAGGUUUUGUAUUGAUAGAAUGAUAUUUUCUUACAAACAAUAAGCUGCAAUCAGCUUUUUAUAUCCCUAUAGUAGCCUAACUACCUUGCUUACUGUGUAAGCUACACAGCACCAUCCUAACUAACUUUCAACAGAAAUAUGAAUGACAUGGCAGAUGAUGUGGCAGAUGAUGUGGCCUUCACUUGAGUCAAUUAUUAUCAGUCAACAAAAACUUAUAUGUUGCAUGUUCUGGCUUUUAAAGUGAGUCGGCAUCAGAGUUUUUAUUUGAGAAAAAUCAGUUUUGUGUCCAUGUGUUUUCAAAGAAAAUAUUUUUGUUUUUAAUCACUGAUUUUUC